rnacentral:rRNA from 1 species
AUUGAACGCUGGCGGCAGGCCUAACACAUGCAAGUCGAGCGAGCGGCGGAAGGGGGAGUAAUGUAUGGGGACUGCCCGAUAGAGGGGGUUAACUACUGGAAACGGUAGCUAAUACCGCAUCAUAUCGGAUAACCCAUAUGGGAUUAGCUAGUAGGUGAGGUAAUGGCUCACCUAGGCGCCGAUCCCUAGCUGGUCUGAGAGGAUGAUCAGCCCCACUGGGACUUAGACACGGCCCAGACUCCUACGGAGGCAGCAGUGGGGAAUAUUGCACAAUGGGCGCAAGCCUGAUGCAGCCAUGCCGCGUGUAUGAAGAAGGCCCUAGGGUUGUAAAGUACUUUCAGUCGGGAGGCGUUACCGACAGAAGAAGCACCGGCUAACUCCGUGCCAGCAGCCGCGGUAAUAC